rnacentral:rRNA from 1 species
UAGAGUUUGAUCAUGGCUCAGGACGAACGCUGGCGGCGCGCUUAAGACAUGCAAGUCGAGCGAGGGGAGGGCUUCGGCCCGAACCGAGCGGCGGACGGGUGAGUAACACGUGGGUAACCUGCCUACCAGACGGGGAUAACUCCGGGAAACCGGGGCUAAUACCGGGUACGCUUGUCGAUCUGAAUGGAUGGACAAGGAAAGGAGCAAUCCGCUGGUAGAUGGGCCCGCGGGCCAUUAGCUUGUUGGCGGGGUAGGGGCCCACCAAGGCGACGAUGGCUAGCCGGCCUGAGAGGGUGGCCGGCCACACUGGGACUGAGACACGGCCCAGACUCCUACGGGAGGCAGCAGUCGGGAAUUUUGCGCAAUGGGGGAAACCCUGACGCAGCGACGCCGCGUGUGCGACGAAGGCCUUCGGGUUGUAAAGCACUGUCUUGGGGGACGAAGAAGUGACGGUACCCCAGGAGGAAGCCCCGGCUAACUACGUGCCAGCAGCCGCGGUAAUACGUAGGGGGCGAGCGUUGUCCGGAAUUAUUGGGCGUAAAGGGCGUCUAGGCGGUUUCUUAAGUCUGGCGUGAAAAUACCGCAGCUCAACUGCGGGGAUGCGUUGGAAACUGGGGGACUUGAGGGCAGGAGAGGGAAGCGGAAUUCCCGGUGUAACGGUGAAAUG